ensembl:lncRNA
UGAUAACCGCAUGGGGCCCUAAAAAUCUGCACCAAAUCCGCAGGGUUGACCAUUGAGAGACCCUAAAAGGCCCCUAGCAAUACGGAGAUGUCUGUAGCAAAACAACUGACAGAGUGGAACUUGACAGCGUCCAAAGGAGGUACACGGUGCAUGCACAGUUGGAAGACAUGCGCUUGUGACGGACCAAGCCUUGGGUAACCGUCUAUCCAUGGGUAUGGCCAAAAGCUCAGAGUCAGAGUAAAGUUUUUCAGUUUUUUUUUGGUUUAUUAUUUUUCAAAGUUCAGGAAUCCAUAAGUCAUUCACAAACUUCAUCACUUCAAAUCCAUAAGACAUUCACAAAAUUCCUAAAAAGAACAGAAUUCUGCUAAGCCUCUAAAUGACUAGAGGACAGCCAUCAGCAGUUCCCAGAGAUGCACAUACCUUACCAACCCUCCCUCAAGACAGAACAAAUCCACAUAUAUAGAAAGGUGGUCAGCACCAUAUAAAAAGGAGGGGUAUACAAAAUAAUCAAUUAGUGUUUCAGUGCACAAUAUAAACCCUGAAACACCCACACAGUGUUCACAAUGUGCUAAAUAUAUAAUUAGAAUAAUAUCUAUCUAAUACAUCCUAAUCGCUGGCCUGUAAAAAAGACAUUGUACUGAAGUGAUUUGGCCAAACCAUUUCUCUUGUCCCAACCGCCACAACAGGGAAUCACCACCCUGAUUAAGGUAGGAACCGUAUAUAAGUUCCCACUGGUUCCGGUGGCGCUUCUUAGCCGUUGCACCGACAAUCAAACACGAGCACCCAAACAGCUGGCAAUCCACUCCACAAGUCUCUCGGUCUACUCAAUAAAUGUAGGAAACCACGAUUGUUGUCCUAGCCUCCUUUCCGUAUGUAUCUUCCAUGUAUGUGUGUGUGUGAGAGGAAGAGAGAGAAUGGGAGAAAUAGUUGCGUCUGUAUAUCCGUGUGCGUGUGUGUGUGUGUGUGUGCGCGAUUGUAUGCAAGUGCAAUGUGUGUUAGCGGUUGUGGAUCCAGGUAGAUGUGCGGUCGCAUUGGGACCGUCACAGCGCUCAAGGCGUCGACUCCGAGCACUGGCGUGUGAAGACCCAGCGGAGUGGGCACUGGCGUGUGAAGACCCAGCAGAGAGGGGAGAGCCUUGAACAGGGGCUGGAGAAGAGUGCCUGCUGGGACGACCUCUGAGAGCCUCGGACAGGGGCAGGAGAAGAGUGCCUGCUGGGACGACCUCUGAGAGCCUUGAACAGGGGCAGGAGAAGAGUGCCUGCUGGGACGACCUCUGAGAGCCUCGACCGGAUGGCAAGGAGUCCUGCUGGACCUGACGGAGAAACAGCUGUAUCCUGAGAACCCCUGGAUUAGCCAUUGGAUUUUCAUUAAAACAUCAUUCAAUUCAGUUACUUGAGGAGGAUCUGAUCAGGUGUAUGCCAAAACAUUAACCUUCUGAUAGCCCCAACUUCCUCUGGGACAUGCAGGAUCUGAUCUAUGACAAGGCAACAUCAAUUGUAAAUUAUGUAGAAUUUCAGCUUUUCUGAGUGUGGUUUCCGUAAUACCACUCUAAGGGCCUCA